rnacentral:rRNA from 1 species
UACGAAGGUGGCAAGCGUUGUUCGGAUUUACUGGGCGUACAGGGGCGUAGGCGGUUGGGUAAGCCCUUCGUGAAAUCUCCGGGCCUAACCCGGAAAGUGCGGAGGGGACUGCUCGGCUAGAGGAUGGGAGAGGAGCGCGGAAUUCCAGGUGUAGCGGUGAAAUGCGUAGAUAUCUGGAGGAACACCGGUGGCGAAGGCGGCAUUCUGGACUGUAACUGACACUGAGGAACGAAAGCCAGGGGAGCAAACGGG